rnacentral:rRNA from 1 species
UUGCUCUUCAACGAGGAAUGCCUAGUAAGCGCAAGUCAUCAGCUUGCGUUGAUUACGUCCCUGCCCUUUGUACACACCGCCCGUCGCUACUACCGAUUGAAUGGCUCAGUGAGGCCUUCGGACUGGCUCAGGACAGUCGGCAACGACCAUCCAGAGCCGGAAAGUUCGUCAAACUUGGUCAUUUAGAGGAAGUAAAAGUCGUAACAAGGUUUCCGUAGGUGAACCUGCGGAAGGAUCAUUAAUGGGAAUAGCCCUCGUGGCUUAACCUUCAACCCUUUGUUGUUAUGAAGCCUUGUUUCUUUGGCGGGCUCGUCCCGUCAGAAGCAAUCUCAAACUCCAUUCCAAAUUGUCAUUCUGAAUUAUAAGAUUUAAUAAAACAAAACUUUCAACAACGGAUCUCUUGGUUCUGGCAUCGAUGAAGAACGCAGCGAAAUGCAAUAAGUAGUGUGAAUUGCAGAAUUCAGUGAAUCAUCGAAUCUUUGAACGCACAUUGCGCCCCUUGGUAUUCCAUGGGGCAUGCCUGUUCGAGCGUCAUUUGUACCUUCAAGCUCUGCUUGGUGUUGGGUGUUUGUCUCGCCUCUGCGUGUAGACUCGCCUCAAAACAAUUGGCAGCCGGCGUAUUGAUUUCGGAGCGCAGUACAUCUCGCGCUUUGCACUCAUAACGACGACGUCCAAAAGUACAUUUUUACACUCUUGACCUCGGAUCAGGUAGGGAUACCCGCUGAACUUAAGCAUAUCAAUAAGCGGAGGA